GGGUUGUGAGGUUAAGUGACUAAGCGUACACGGUGGAUGCCCUGGCAGUCAGAGGCGAUGAAGGACGUGCUAAUCUGCGAAAAGCGUCGGUAAGGUGAUAUGAACCGUUAUAACCGGCGAUGUCCGAAUGGGGAAACCCAGUGCAAUUCGUUGCACUAUCGUUAACUGAAUACAUAGGUUAACGAGGCGAACCGGGGGAACUGAAACAUCUAAGUACCCCGAGGAAAAGAAAUCAACCGAGAUUCCCCCAGUAGCGGCGAGCGAACGGGGAGCAGCCCAGAGUCUGAAUCAGCUUGUGUGUUAGUGGAACGGUCUGGAAAGUCCGACGGUACAGGGUGAUAGUCCCGUACACCAAAAUGCACAGGCUGUGAACUCGAAGAGUAGGGCGGGACACGUGGUAUCCUGUCUGAAUAUGGGGGGACCAUCCUCCAAGGCUAAAUACUCCUGACUGACCGAUAGUGAACCAGUACCGUGAGGGAAAGGCGAAAAGAACCCCGGCGAGGGGAGUGAAAAAGAACCUGAAACCGUGUACGUACAAGCAGUGGGAGCACCUUCGGGUGUGACUGCGUACCUUUUGUAUAAUGGGUCAGCGACUUAUAUUCUGUAGCAAGGUUAACCGUAUAGGGGAGCCGCAGGGAAACCGAGUCUUAACUGGGCGUUAAGUUGCAGGGUAUAGACCCGAAACCCGGUGAUCUAGCCAUGGGCAGGUUGAAGGUUGGGUAACACUAACUGGAGGACCGAACCGACUAAUGUUGAAAAAUUAGCGGAUGACUUGUGGCUGGGGGUGAAAGGCCAAUCAAACCGGGAGAUAGCUGGUUCUCCCCGAAAGCUAUUUAGGUAGCGCCUCGUGAAUUCAUCUUCGGGGGUAGAGCACUGUUUCGGCUAGGGGGUCAUCCCGACUUACCAACCCGAUGCAAACUACGAAUACCGAAGAAUGUUAUCACGGGAGACACACGGCGGGUGCUAACGUCCGUCGUGAAGAGGGAAACAACCCAGACCGCCAGCUAAGGUCCCAAAGUCAUGGUUAAGUGGGAAACGAUGUGGGAAGGCACAGACAGCCAGGAUGUUGGCUUAGAAGCAGCCAUCAUUUAAAGAAAGCGUAAUAGCUCACUGGUCGAGUCGGCCUGCGCGGAAGAUGUAACGGGGCUAAACCAUGCACCGAAGCUGCGGCAGCGACACUAUGUGUUGUUGGGUAGGGGAGCGUUCUGUAAGCCUGCGAAGGUGUGCUGUGAGGCAUGCUGGAGGUAUCAGAAGUGCGAAUGCUGACAUAAGUAACGAUAAAGCGGGUGAAAAGCCCGCUCGCCGGAAGACCAAGGGUUCCUGUCCAACGUUAAUCGGGGCAGGGUGAGUCGACCCCUAAGGCGAGGCCGAAAGGCGUAGUCGAUGGGAAACAGGUUAAUAUUCCUGUACUUGGUGUUACUGCGAAGGGGGGACGGAGAAGGCUAUGUUAGCCGGGCGACGGUUGUCCCGGUUUAAGCAUGUAGGCUGGUUGUCCAGGCAAAUCCGGAUAAUCAAGGCUGAGGUGUGAUGACGAGGCACUACGGUGCUGAAGUAACAAAUGCCCUGCUUCCAGGAAAAGCCUCUAAGCAUCAGGUAACAUUAAAUCGUACCCCAAACCGACACAGGUGGUCAGGUAGAGAAUACCAAGGCGCUUGAGAGAACUCGGGUGAAGGAACUAGGCAAAAUGGUGCCGUAACUUCGGGAGAAGGCACGCUGGUGUGUAGGUGAAGUCCCUGCGGAUGGAGCUGAGACCAGUCGAAGAUACCAGCUGGCUGCAACUGUUUAUUAAAAACACAGCACUGUGCAAACACGAAAGUGGACGUAUACGGUGUGACGCCUGCCCGGUGCCGGAAGGUUAAUUGAUGGGGUUAUCCGUAAGGAGAAGCUCUUGAUCGAAGCCCCGGUAAACGGCGGCCGUAACUAUAACGGUCCUAAGGUAGCGAAAUUCCUUGUCGGGUAAGUUCCGACCUGCACGAAUGGCGUAAUGAUGGCCAGGCUGUCUCCACCCGAGACUCAGUGAAAUUGAACUCGCUGUGAAGAUGCAGUGUACCCGCGGCAAGACGGAAAGACCCCGUGAACCUUUACUAUAGCUUGACACUGAACAUUGAGCCUUGAUGUGUAGGAUAGGUGGGAGGCUUUGAAGCGUGGACGCCAGUCUGCGUGGAGCCAACCUUGAAAUACCACCCUUUAAUGUUUGAUGUUCUAACGUUGGCCCCUGACCGGGGUUGCGGACAGUGUCUGGUGGGUAGUUUGACUGGGGCGGUCUCCUCCCAAAGCGUAACGGAGGAGCACGAAGGUUAGCUAAUCCUGGUCGGACAUCAGGAGGUUAGUGCAAUGGCAUAAGCUAGCUUGACUGCGAGCGUGACGGCGCGAGCAGGUGCGAAAGCAGGUCAUAGUGAUCCGGUGGUUCUGAAUGGAAGGGCCAUCGCUCAACGGAUAAAAGGUACUCCGGGGAUAACAGGCUGAUACCGCCCAAGAGUUCAUAUCGACGGCGGUGUUUGGCACCUCGAUGUCGGCUCAUCACAUCCUGGGGCUGAAGUAGGUCCCAAGGGUAUGGCUGUUCGCCAUUUAAAGUGGUACGCGAGCUGGGUUUAGAACGUCGUGAGACAGUUCGGUCCCUAUCUGCCGUGGGCGCUGGAGAAUUGAGGGGGGCUGCUCCUAGUACGAGAGGACCGGAGUGGACGCAUCACUGGUGUUCGGGUUGUCAUGCCAAUGGCACUGCCCGGUAGCUAAAUGCGGAAGAGAUAAGUGCUGAAAGCAUCUAAGCACGAAACUUGCCCCGAGAUGAGUUCUCCCUGAGACUUUAAGUCUCCUGAAGGAACGUUGAAGACGACGACGUUGAUAGGCCGGGUGUGUAAGCGCAGCGAUGCGUUGAGCUAACCGGUACUAAUGAACCGUGAGGCUUAACCUUACAACGCCGAAG
rnacentral:rRNA from 1 species